GGAGAGACGAAGCACACCUGUGUCUGUUUCAACUGGCAGGAACAGAUUUCUUCCCCAUUUUUGUAUAAUGUCCCACUCCUUUCGCUUCUAUUGUGCAUGUUAGUGAAUUGUCAAAAGCGCUGGUGAGAUCACAGAAGUAACAGGCACCCAAGAGCUCAGAGUUGCUGAUGUUGUUGCAGUUCCCACUGGUCACCAGGAGAGAUCUGAUGCCUCUGUGGCUGAAAGCAGCAAGUCAUCACAGGAAGAUGGAUGAAACCUGGAGGAAGAAAUAUGAAGUGAUUAGCUCGUCACUUUAUUCCCCUUCAAGUGGUUCAGAGAACCUGCCAAUGACUCCCAUAAUGCUGUCUGCUCUCCUGAGAAGUUUUUAGCAUGCAAUUUCACACAUCCUCCUCAGCAAACCCUUCCUCCACAUCAUAGGACAAUUGUGACAACAAGAUGAUUUGAAACUUUCAGUAGAGUGUGUGUUGGUUGAUAGUUAGGGGUUAAUGGGUGAAAGGUCUGGUUGUUUCCAGACAUGAGUGUUAGCGUCCAGUCUCAGCCGGAUCUGCAGCAAAGCAGAUCCAUGCAGAGAGGCCUUGACUAAGGGGAUUUGAAGGAGAGGCACUGCACGGAAAUCUUAUCCCCCUGAUUUUAAACUGGAUGCUUAAUUGGCCAGUCGGUCGUUUCAAACAAGCAUUUGUGGAUUCAACCUUUUGUUACAGUUGGUGGGAAUGUGCACUUUUGCUUUACAAAGUAACAACAUUUUAUCAUAUUAACUGACUGUAAUGAAGAUAUAGUCAGCCGAAACACUCUGGUUGGAUAGAUCAUAGCGCUUUCCAGAGGAAACUUUCAGGAAGUGAUGUAUUUUUGAGGCAGAAGAAGAACCAGCAUGAGCAAUGAUAGUGUAACAGUAAUAAAAACUAAUAUUCUUCUUUUCUGUAUGGCCUAUAUCCCACAAUGUUUGAAUGUCACUAUUGCAAUGUUAAAUAACACUUUCCCUGCCCUGAAGUGAAGCAAAAACAUGUUUUUACUAAAACAAGAUUUUCUGCGCAUUAAGAAUCUGUCCACCCCCUAGAAUCCGUGAUUGGAUGGUGAACUGAUAUUCCUGUUUGGAUAGUCAAAUGACACGUUAAUCAGAGCAUCCCCAUUGGUUAUUCAGUAGAAAGUGUCAAAUGUGGCACAAAAGUACUUGUAACUAGGUUUGUUUUCUACCUGUAGAAUCGAUCCGUACCUGUAAACUUUGGGUUUUUCAGAUAUUCAGAUUCAAAAUGUUCCACACAGCUACAAUACAUUUGGGACAGUAUUUAUUCCAUAGUAGUGCUGCCCCCAACUAAAGAUUUGCCUAGUUAACUAGUAGCUGUUAUUUCAAGUCAUUAGUCAAAUAGUCAUCAAACGUUUAUGAUAUUAAUUGAAUUAUUUAAAUAUAUCUUUUGGAGCAUAAGGAAAUAGUUUGACUUCCAGGGCAUCAUGAGUUGCUGUGAUUCUUUUGAUUGCUAUUUGUUCUGUGAUUAUUUACAUACUGUGUGUUGAUUUGUUACUGUAGCCUGGCUAAAGCUACUGCGGUUGUUUGAUAGUCAGAGAGAGCAGGUUUGAGUUGAGGGCAGGAUGUAAGAUUUUACAGUCGUUGUGUGUCUGUAUACCUGUGUUUACACACAAUGUGCU